GUAGCAGAAUAGUUUGUUCUUUAAUUGGGAGUUGGUAUGAAUGGUUAAACAAAAAAUAUCUUUUAUAUUAAAGUAAAGUAAAUUAAAGUUUAAGUUAAAAUGCUUAAAUAAUAUAAAGGGACGAUAAGACCCUAAAAGCUUUAUUUAUUUUUAAUAAAAUUAAAUAUUGUGAAUUGAUGUUUAAGAUGGAAUUAGCUGGGGAAGUGGUUUUGUAGAAUUAAAAUGGAGUAGGAUUAAGGUUUAAGUUGCGAGGUCUUUAAAAUAAGAGUUGACGGAUUAAGUUACUUUAGGGAUAACAGCGCAAUGGUUUUGGAGAGUUCUUAUUUAUAAAAUUAUGUGCGACCUCGAUGUUGAAUUAAAAAGUCUUAAGGGGGCAGGUAACCUAUAAGAGGGUUUGUUCAACCUUUCAAUUUUU
rnacentral:rRNA from 1 species